AUGCUUGUUUUACAAACAAGGCCCAGUUUGAUGACGGAUUUGCGUAUCGUUUAUUUCUUAAGGAUGAUGCAAUCCCAACGAAAAAGGGUCACGAUUGUGUGUUGGAACCACAGGCGGUCAAAGGUUUGGGUGUUAUCUUGGAUAGUACACUAUCCUCACCUCAGUCAUGGUAUUGAGGCUGGAAGAGAGCACUGGUUAUUCACUCCCCCUCCAGGAAAUGUGGCUAUACACUAUAGGUUCAAUCAUACACAUCUCACAUCAGCCAUUUUCAAACACUUCUGGGCUAGAUAUAAAAUUUGCUGUCAGUUUAUGUCCAUGUCGUUUAUCUUGAACUGUGUCACCAUCAGGUCUGAUCAAACUGAUGAAAGAGUCUUUCAUCACCAGUCCGUCCUUCCCUGUUCAGACUGAGGGGAAAUGGGUGCCUGCCUCUUGAUUUAGGUAUGAUGGCAGUGGGAGGACCUGACUGAGUCUCCUAGCUUUCAAGUGGCCAAGGAGGACAACAUCCAUCAUCUAGCACUGAGCUCAGCCGGGGAGUCUCUCCUCCAGCCACUCCAUUCUGUGAUGGAUGAGCAUAUCACAUAGGAUUCUUAUUAUUUCAAAAGAGGGCAAAGGAAAGGCCAGUGAGUUCAAAUACUGAGCGAUCAGUCGCAAUGGUGAAUCAGAGUUUUUAUCUCAGAAUCUAAUCCAUUUAUGGGCUACUUACACAUUCUUGAAGUGGUAGUUGGCUAAGGACAAAUACUAGGCACAGAGGGGAGCAAGAGAAGUACAGUAUUUUUCAGAGAAGAGGAGCAGGAAUAGGGCAAUGCUACCUAUAGCACUGCUGUAGUUAUUUUUUAUUUCUAGUUGAUUUUUAGUCCCUCCUUCUAUUUUAUUUUACACUACGUCUAUGAUUUUUUCUUAUUAAUUUUAAGGUAAUAUAGUUUAUUUUUUUUAUUUUUUUUAUUGAUAAUUAUAUAUAAUUAUAUAUACAACUAUUUUGUGCUGCCAGUUAAGUAUUUUUUGAAUUGUUGAAUUGUAGAAUUAUAUUCUCAGGGCCAUGUUAUGCAUAGUAUUAUUUAGUGGCAUUUUCGUGUUAAAUGAAGGUGGUUUUUUGAUUUGUGCCUGUCUGUGAACGUAAAAAUGUGUAAAAUAAAAUAAUAAAUAAUAAUAACACAUGGAUCACAGAAACCCCAUAUCUGAUGAUCCAUGAAGCCCACUAAUUAGCACCCACAGUAUGUGACAUCAGUAUUAUAAAAAAAAAGACUAUGUGUGCACUAAAUUAGGCUCUUUAUAUUAUUCUUUAGAGUCUCUUUAACAAAACAAAACAAGACAAUCAAAUAUCCUAAUUCAAUUUGUUUGUAAAUAUUGUUCUUAUAUUUCUGACAUAAUGCAAGAGAAAAGAAGCCUUUGUUGUUUUAGUGAUAUGUGGGCCACAGAUCUGAUUUGUAGUCUAGACUUUCUCCUCAUGUCCUCAUAUGUUCUUGAGUGAGAGAGUGAGCAACAGAGAGACAUAGAAAGCGGGUGAUGGAGAGGAUUGAGGAUUUGGGGCAGCACUAUGUCACAGUAGUGAUUCUCAGAGAGCUGUGGCAUUCUAUCGUGCUGCAGUGCUCAGGUAACUCUAUAUACCAAAGACCGGACUAUUCCAUGGUAGUACAAUGUUUAUUUCUUCCAUAUCUCUUUCUUUUUCUUUUUACAUGCACAAGAAGGAAAUAUCUAAAGACAAGUGUAAUUCUGAGCAGCAGCAGUCCUUGUUAACUUGAGUUGUAAGACUAUUUGACCAGAAGACCACUUCUUUUUUGAGGGGGGAGGGGGGGGGGGUAUUUUUUGAUUCUAGUCACCAUCUGCUAUGCCUUCAUAGCCUGAGGAUGCAACUGAUAAAAGGCACCAUCCCAGAUGAAAGAUUCAUGGGCUACUGUACCUGGAUGGGUGAGACAGAAAGAAAGAGAGAAAUAUUCAGAGAAUGAUCCAUGCCCUGAGGUAAAGAUUUGAAUGAUUUAUUUUGCCAGUCUAUUUAGUGGGCUGGAGAAGCCUCAUGGAUUUCUUCAGGUGCUUUGUUGUUUUAUUGUAUGUCUUUGGCUGAUGAAAUUGUAUGUGAUGGAAACCAACAUGUUCAGGACUAACUAACUCCUGAUUUUAAACAUAGAUACACUUUUGAAGUAUUUAUUAUUAUUUUUUAAACAUCUGCUAUUAUGUUAAUUUUAGAAAGCUUAUUCAAAUGUAACAAUUUAAUGGUACUAUGAUUUCAUGCUUUAUUAGUAUUUUUAAGCAUAACCUACUUCUGAAAAUAAUUAAUAAACAAUCAUGAGGUUUUUAAUCUUUUUAUCCAUUCAUCUUUAUUGACAUGCUGUCUGGUUUCCGAGAAUCUCAUUGUAAUGUUUUUAGAUUACUCAGAAAAUUAAUACACUGAAUUUUUUAUUAUUAUUUUUUUACUCCAAUGAGAAAUUUAUAUCAGUCAAGCUCAUUUGAAUAGGAUUCUAAGCUUAACAGCAUCAGUAAAUUAAGCAUCAAAAAUGCAGAGAUUCAAAACGCUGCUGUGUUAAGACCAAAAGUGCUUUUCCUUGUUGUAGCAGGAAGUAUCAGAAACACAGACUUGAAUAAUUCCAGGCAAUGACCAGGGAGCUGUUCCCAUGAGUGAAACAUCAGUUUCACAGCCCUCUUGUUUUGUAAUACAUUGGGUACCUUUUUGAAUUGGAAGGGUGAUUGUGUAGUACAGUAUAUUACUGUACUUCUCAAGGCAAACUGAAUAAAUCAAGGACUGAAAAUGAUUUUCUUUUCUUUUUUUCAAGUUGCUUUAAUUUCAUAAGAGUUUCUAUAUGGAAGGCAAGACAAGUUUUACUGCAAUAUAGAGCAGUCUAGACCCCAAAAAAGGUGAC
ensembl:lncRNA